GCGAGUGGGACCCCCGGGCUCAUAGCUAGUUGUACGUAUCGCUAGCAUGGCACGUGCGUAGCGACCUGAGAAGGGUGAUCGUCACCACCGGACUGAGACACGCCAGAUCCUACCGGAGGCAGCAGUAGGGAAUCUUCCGCAUGACGAAGUCUGACGGAGCACGCGCUUGAGUGAUUGAAGGUUUUCGAUCGUAAGCUCUGUUGUUAAGGCAAGAACAAGUACCGUUCGAUUAGGGCCGGUACUUGACGGUACCUAACCAGAAAGCCACGGCUUAACUACGUGCCAGCAGCCGCGGUAAUACGUAGGUGGCUAGCGUUGUCCUGGAAUUAUUGGGCGUAAAGGGCUCGCGGGCGGUUUCUUAAGUCUGAUGUGAAAGCCCCCGGCUCAACCGGGGAGGGUCAUUGGAAACUGGGGAACUUGAGUGCAGAAGAGGAGAGUGGAAUUCCACGUGUAGCGGUGAAAUGCGUAGAGAUGUGGAGGAACACCAGUGGCGAAGGCGACUCUCUGGUCUGUAACUGACGCUGAGGAGCGAAAGCGUGGGGAGCGAACAGGAUUAGAUACCCUGGUAGUCCACGCCGUAAACGAUGAGUGCUAAGUGUUAGGGGGUUUCCGCCCCUUAGUGCUGCAGCUAACGCAUUAAGCACUCCGCCUGGGGAGUACGGUCGCAAGACUGAAACUCAAAGGAAUUGACGGGGGCCCGCACAAGCGGUGGAGCAUGUGGUUUAAUUCGAAGCAACGCGAAGAACCUUACCAGGUCUUGACAUCCUCUGACAAUCCUAGAGAUAGGACGUCCCCUUCGGGGGCAGAGUGACAGGUGGUGCAUGGUUGUCGUCAGCUCGUGUCGUGAGAUGUUGGGUUAAGUCCCGCAACGAGCGCAACCCUUGAUCUUAGUUGCCAGCAUUCAGUUGGGCACUCUAAGGUGACUGCCGGUGACAAACCGGAGGAAGGUGGGGAUGACGUCAAAUCAUCAUGCCCCUUAUGACCUGGGCUACACACGUGCUACAAUGGACAGAACAAAGGGCAGCGAAACCGCGAGGUUAAGCCAAUCCCACAAAUCUGUUCUCAGUUCGGAUCGCAGUCUGCAACUCGACUGCGUGAAGCUGGAAUCGCUAGUAAUCGCGGAUCAGCAUGCCGCGGUGAAUACGUUCCCGGGCCUUGUACACACCGCCCGUCACACCACGAGAGUUUGUAACACCCGAAGUCGGUGAGGUAACCUUUUAGGAGCCAGCCG
rnacentral:rRNA from 1 species